GGGAUGUUGAAUAGGGGAAUCAAAAGUUCUUAUAUCAUGUGAUUGGGUUUUUGGCCUCUUCUCAAUCUUAAUUUCAUAAUGCUUUUCUGUUUAUAUGAUGUGGAGUAUAUCUAUUAGUGUAGACAACUUUAGAUAUUGUCAUUGGCCAUCAAGUAAAGGAAGUUGAAGCCACUUAUAAGAUGGAAAAGUAGUUAGAAAUUUUGAUUUCCUAUUAAUUGAGCUGGUUAAUUUGUUUCCUGAUAUUGAUGAUGGAAAUCAUAUUCAAUUUUAUCUCCCACUUGGUUCAUGAUAAAACUGAAUGAUUAUAUAUCGCAAGAAAUUAGUAUUGCAUUAGAUGUUAUACUUGUCAGCUUUAUUUUCUUAAUAAAAU
rnacentral:misc_RNA from 1 species